GCUGGAUGUGAGGAUGGGACCCACUUUCCUCUGUGAGCUGGGCCUAUUCUUUCUCUGUACGCUCCUCUGCAGCGGACACGCUCAAGAUGCUGUGCUAACUGUUGAACCCAGCUCG